CUUGUCUCUAACAACAAAACAGAAUUCAAAUAAAGAGGUACUUGGAGGUGAUCCUUUCUCCAAGGCCACCCAGAUAACCCACCCCACAAGGGGGACCAGCUUGAGCUCCUGCAUACACUUGGAAGCCUCUGGGGUUCAGGAGAAAGUAACAUAUUCCUUGAGACACCCAUCCAGUUAGCUCUGAGAUAAUGAACUGAGAAUCCUUGAGCUCUGAAACUGACUCCACUCAUUGGAUCAACUUUUAAAGCUUGGCAACAGGUCAACAGGAAACAAGGUCCCUGGUGAAACCAGAACUCAGCCCCUGCUGGACAAGUUGUAGGUAUCUUGUGGUAUUUGUGCCUUGGGGAUAUUGUCAGCUGCCUCUCCAGGACUUUGACAUAUUUGACAGGUGCCAAUGCCACCCCUCCUUGCCUCUGCCUGGCGGGGCUAAAGGCGUUUCCUGUCACCUGUCACCCCAGCCCCCGGUUCUCCAGGCAGCACUGCAGAACUACAAGUCUUCGGAAGUAACAUUUCUCUCUCCCACUCCCAGCCAUUACAUUGGAUCACUUCCAACUGAGUCGCCCUCAACCCACUGCAAAUGCCCACUCAAUGAUCCAAGUCCCCGAUCACCCUACGACCUUCAGCUGCCUCCACCCCCACAAACCCCUUCCCCCAGCCUCCCUCUCCACCCACCCACCUUGUGCAUCUCUGAGCAAUGGUCCUCGCCACAGGAGCCUGCCACAUGCAAGGUCAUCAGCAUUCCUGCCAAGGAUGGGGAAGGGGGUGACUCAGUUCCCGCUUGCUCAUCUAGGGAAGGAGAAUGAAGGAGAGGGAGGAGAGACAGAGACCCAUUCAGUUUUGCCUUAAGCUUCACCAGGAGGAGGACUCAGCUGUGCUGACCGUGGAGCCUCUGCUAACUCUCAGAGUACAGAGAAAGUUACUGUAGCAAACACAGGACCGCUGAAGCCAGGUAGCAGCGAAGGGCAAAGCAACUCCUGGUAUCUUGGCACUCGGAAAAGAGUGCUUUUUCAUCCACAGUACAAUUCUUGCUGGUAGGCUUGCUCCAGGGGCUACACCCUAUAGGAGAGACAAGACCCUUACCUAGUUGAGUGUGUGUGUUGGAGGGGUGGGCAGGACAGACCAGAAGCACAGUCCCCAAACAGCUUGAGAAGGUGUAGACUGACCUCAAGGGGCUGUGGGGAGGUCAAAGGACCCUGAUUUUCUUCUCUUGAAGGGCUCCUUCAAGAAGAAUCGGCCUUCUUUGGGUGCUCCCUAAGGCCAGACUGAGAGGACAGAGAGCUUUAUGGAGCCUGAGGUCUGUCUCUCACAGGGAAUGUCAUGAUGUUGCUCAGAAAGGCAGAGGUCAUUUCACAUACAGAGGGGCUGCAACCAGGUGACUGUGUGCUGCAGUGUGUAAGCGUGGACCAUCUGGGCUCAGAGCCAGUGGGCAGAGGGCAAAGACCGGAAGAUGUCAGGCCCCUGCCCUCAUUCUAGGACUCUCCACAUUAUGGCUACACUUCCAAAAGGAACCUCUGGACCUGAGUGCUGACCUACAAAUUGAAGAUUUUGGAGGCCUUGGCUUCGAUGAAGAUUUGCUGUUCCUGGUGGAACUCUACAGCUUUGCUGGGGGGUACAAGGCUGAUGGAGAUGUUACCCUGGCCUGUGGCAUUGUGACGGAAGUGGACGCUGAAG